UGCACCUUCCCAUCUAGAGAUGUGCCAGAGGCUCUACAUCGUUGGAGUGUUUUCACCUCCACUUAAACCGCUUCAUACCAGACCCAAGUCACCGAUCCCACCGAGCCAACCACCAGUUCUCCAGCCAGCAUUGCUGUCCCAGCUCCAGCCCCUGAGACAGUUCAAGCUUCAGUCCCUGUCCAGAAUCCCACUGCAGUGUGUGCCUCUGUGCCUGUAAGUAAUAUAUCAUUUC